GGAGUGAUACUCAAGUGGCUGAAGAGGACGGUUUGCUAAAUCGUUAGACCGGUUAUACCGGUGCGGGAGUUCGAAUCUCCCUCACUCCGCCA
rnacentral:tRNA from 2 species